rnacentral:lncRNA from 1 species
GAAGCUGAUUAUUUUGGUAGAGGAUGUUACACAAUAUUUUUAAAUGGGAAGGUUUUGUUUAUAUUUCUUUUCUUCUGCUGCAGUGAUGCAGCUGAUUGUUCCAGUCUCAGGACAGACUGUAGUCACAGCUGGUCUUGCCGUCCCCAUCUUACACAACCAUCUAGUGCCCCUCUGAGCAACAAACAAUCUUCUUCUGAGCUCCUGUCAAGGCUGGCUCCACCAUUCACACCUCUCUGCUACAAAAGUGCUUGCUACAGUUCAAUAGUGGAGGGAAGAAACAGCUGGUCUGUGCAUUUGUGGGAGAGCAGCAUUUAAUAAGGUAAUAUGUUCAUUUUCUAGGUGUCAGGAAUUAUGAAUUUAUGCCAGGUCAAAUUAAUGCACAUGUUUUCACACAGCACAGUGAAGAGCUCCAUAAGCAAGCACUGUGGUGUUUAGGAUGCUUGUGAAACAUCUACUUCUGGAAUGAGAGCCUCUGUGUUAUGGAGAUUGUUAUGGAGAUACAGCCUUUUAGAACAGAAGUGACAGGUCACAUUUAACUCACACCUCAGUAUUCCCCCCAAAUAACCAAAACAAGGCUGCUGGCUGUAAAAAAUGUGACUGGUGCACAAGCCCCGGGCUCCUAUCAUUCUCCUGCUACAAAGUGCCCCAUAGCAUUUCAGUAAUAUGAAUAAAAACUAAUUUUCCCUCUUCUGCCA